rnacentral:lncRNA from 1 species
UGCUGUGAGAUUCUUAACAUCUGCUGAAGGUCCUAAUCGGCUCCGGGUAACUCCUUGAAGUGUCUCAACAUACAGAAACAAAAUACCUGAGUUAGUUUCUGAAACAAUCGGACGAAAUCAAGGGAAAACAGUGAGGAGAGUUUUGAAGAUUAUCAGAUUAAAGAUGGAGAAUUACCCGUAGAGAAGAGGAGAUCUUAAUUGAUCUCGUGAUCAGUGGUCUCAGGUGGAGUCGUCAGCGAACGAUUCAGUCCUCAAGUGAUCAGUGGUCUCAGGUGGAGUAUGAAUCUGAGAGUUUUUGGGUAGAAGAUGUUACAGUUUUCAGAUAGGUCACUAAGGUUGAUCAAAGGUUCUGAAUCUGCAAUCUCGGAUACGGUGAAAUCAGAAGAUCAGAGGUUAGUAUACGGCAAAUAGAAGAAAGGUUUGUAGUAAAGAAAGGAAAUGGAUUGGAAGGAUCAAUUACCUUGAAAGUUCUUCUCGCAGCGGAAGC